UACGGAGGGUGCGAGCGUUGUCCGGAAUCACUGGGCGUAAAGGGCGCGUAGGCGGCGCGACAAGUCAAUGGUGAAAGCCCGAGGCUCAACUUCGGGUCGGCCACUGAUACUGUUGGGCUUGAGCACUGUAGAGGCAGGUGGAAUUCCGGGUGUAGCGGUGGAAUGCGUAGAGAUCCGGAAGAACACCGGUGGCGAAGGCGGCCUGCUGGGCAGUAGCUGACGCUGAUGCGCGACAGCGUGGGGAGCAAACAGGG
rnacentral:rRNA from 1 species